UACAGAGGUCUCAAGCGUUGUUCGGAUUCAUUGGGCGUAAAGGGUGCGUAGGCGGUGCGGUAAGUCGGGUGUGAAAUCUCGGAGCUUAACUCCGAAACUGCAUUCGAUACUGCCGUGCUUGAGGACUGGAGAGGAGACUGGAAUUUACGGUGUAGCGGUGAAAUGCGUAGAUAUCGUAAGGAAGACCAGUGGCGAAGGCGGGUCUCUGGACAGUUCCUGACGCUGAGGAGCGAAAGCAUGGGGAGCGAACAGG
rnacentral:rRNA from 1 species